CCGACUUUAGCUCAGUUGGUAGUAGCGCAAGACUGUAAUGGAUACCUGCGAUCUUGAGGUCACCUGUUCGACCCAGGUAAGUCGGA